GGACUACAGGUGGAUACACAAUAGGUGGUGUCACAAUUGGUGGUGUUGGUACUACAGGUGGAUAAACAAUGGGUGGUUUUGGCACAUAAGGUGGUGUAACUGGCACAACUGGUGGUUUUGGGAUAUAUGGUGGUCUAACUGGGACAACAGGUGGUUUUGGGACAUAAGGAGGGUUCACAAUUGGUGGUUUUGGAACAUAUGGUGGUGUAACUGGCACAACUGGUGGUUUUGGGACAUAGGGAGGGUUCACAACUGGUGGCUUCGGGACAUAGGGUGGUUUAACAACUGGUGGUUUUGGGACAUAAGGUGGAUGUGGAUGCAGUGGAGGCUUAGGGUGAGGUUUUGGGACAUGGGGUGGAUGUGGAUGAACUGGUGGUUUAGGGUAGUGAGGAGGUUUUGGGACAUAGGGUGGGUGUACAUGGGGUGGUUUUGGAGAUGACUUGGGUGGUGGACAUGGUUUUGGUUGUUUGUGAACUGGUGGUUUCACAAUGGGAGGCUUUUUUGGAGGAGGCUUGGGAG
rnacentral:lncRNA from 1 species